rnacentral:rRNA from 1 species
UACAGAGGCCCCGAGCAUUACCCGGAAUCACUGGGCGUAAAGCGUGUGUAGGUGGUCGUAUUAGUCAUCUGUUAAAACCCGGGGCCUAACCCCGGAAGUGCGGGUGAAACGGUACGACUCGAGGGUGUGAGAGGUGCAUAGAACUCUAGGUGUAGGGGUGAAAUCCGUUGAUAUCUAGGGGAAUACCGAAAGCGAAGGCAGUGCACUGGCGCAUUCCUGACACUCAAACACGAAAGCGUGGGUAGCGAACGGG